rnacentral:rRNA from 1 species
UACGGAAGGGGCGAGCGUUGUUCGGAAUCAUUGGGCGUAAAGGGCGCGUAGGUGGUUCUGUAUGUCUACCGUGAAAGCGUACGGCUCAACCGUAUUUUGUCGGUAGAAACUGCAGGACUUGAGGCUGGGAGGGGCUGGUGGAAUUCCCUGUGUAGCGGUGAAAUGCGUAGAGAUGGGGGAGAACACUCGUGGCGAAGGCGGCCAGCUAGACCAGUUCUGACACUGAGGCGCGAAAGCGUGGGGAGCAAACAGG